UGAUAAAACUGACGAAAAAUUGAAUAACGGCCAGCUCAUUUAUAUCUUAAUACGCAGAACAUGAAAUAUAUUUGGGAAACCUCUUUAUGGGAGAUCAGUUUUGAUUAUUAAUCGACACACAUUAUAUUUCUUCAAACAUUACUACUUUAAUUUUGUGUUUUGCCUAUUAAAGAACAGAGUCACGAUAAUUUUAUGCUCAGAAACAAUCAAAUCAGAUGCGGUUGGUUUGAGAUUUGUACCCGUAACUUGAACAUUGUACUGUUUUACAUAAUCUACAAUAAAAUAACAUUAUAAGCAAAAUUUAACUAGAAAAAUAUUUAUUAAUUUUCACAGUGAUACAACGCAUUCAGUAUUUUCAACGUUUUGUGAUAUUGUUAUAAUUAUACGUGCUAGGAGUAAGUUUCUUUCACUUGGAAUGAUGGGCCUCCGUGGCCGAGUGAUUAAGGUCGCUGACUUCAAAUCACUUGCCUCUCAACGUUGUGGAAUCGAGCCUCACUUUGGGCGUUGAAUUCUUCAUGCGAGGAAGCCAAACUAAUAUUGACAUACUUCACUGUCUACUUAAGGUUAAGAAGGUGUGAUAAUCGGAAAAUUUGUGUCCGUUCUGUAUCUCCUAAACGUCUUGAAGGAUUUUCACGAAACUUUGGGCAAAUAAUCACCUCAUCAAGACAAAGUACACAACUUAUAAGUCAGCCAUGUCGGCUCAAGCUUAAGGUCAAAGGGUCAAAGGUUUGAGCAUUCUAUUUUGUGAUUUUCAUGAAACUUAGGAAAAAUGAUUAACUCAUCAAGACAAUGUGCAAAACAUAUAAGUCAACCAUGUUGGCUCAUUGUCAAGGUGACUACUCAAGGUCAAAGGUUUAAGCCUUCCAUUUUGUGUCCCCUCUGUUUCUCCUAAACCCCUUUGAUUUUGAAAUUCAUUGAUGUCGUCAUACAUGGACUAUACAAUAUACUUAACAACGGCAAUGCUUCCACCCAAUACCAUCAACUCUUUAACUUUCCAUAAUAGCGGCGGUGGAUAUAGCUGUCUUUUAGACUGCCUUAUUCAAAUAUAAUAAACUUAUUUAUCAAUUUAUUAAAAAAAUCAUAAUGUUUAAGAAAGAAUUUAGCAAGUUUUUAUUUCAAGUUCUAUAUGGGACAAGCACAAAUUCAAAUUUGAUUUUUUAGAAAAAUGUGACAGUCUCUCAUAUUAUAUUCUAUUUACUGUUUUCAUUACGUAUUUCAAUUUUAAUAUAUCUUUUAAUAUCUUUGAUGGUAAAAUUUAGAUACGAUAUGACAUAACUGUUUAUUUGCGUAUGUAUGGCGCAAAAUGGUAUGUCGUCACGCUCCUGUCUCUAUACACGCCAGGAACGGAAAUGGUAAUACGUCUUGCGGAAUACUAAUAGUUCCAUUAGGGAAUUAUUCUGUACAGCUAAAAAUUAUCUCCGUGUGUGUAAAUUAGUUAAGACAGUAAUGACUGGUGACAUUGCGCUUUUAAACAUGUUUUAAGUAAAAUAUUUUAUCAAGUUUGAAAGCGCUAUUUGAAACUCAGUAUAGACAAAAACACAAUAAUACGAUUUUAUCCUGCCAAAUUAUAUUUCAAUGCAUGUAUCUGAUAAAAACAUUUUCCCAUUCCUUUUGUAAGUAUUGUAUAUACAUAAUGGUAUGAUCACUUUCAACAGUAUGAACUUUUUUAUAAUUAUGAUAUUGGCAGAUACUGUUUGUGAAUACAAAGAAACUAAACCUGUUGUUUGUUAUUAUCAUAAUUAGUAUCCUUUUUUAAUAACAAUCGUAAUCAUUAUAAUUAUUCUUACUAUUAUUAUUAUCAUUUUUCACUCAGAGAAGGAAAAUUAAUUUAUUUACACACCUUCAUGGCCUAGUGGGGCACCUGCACGGGCUAAUUGCCCUAUAAUUAGACACUGUUACAUAAUUGCUGAUAAGCAGAUAAGGCUGGAUUUGUUUAUUGUUGGAUUAUUUGCGGGAAGGUUGUGGGGGGUGCACUGAUACAGUAGUGGAUUUAGGCCUUUAACUAAAAUUAAAAUUUACCUACUUUUAGCGUUUGUAUAUAAAUAGUGUGUCCGCUUAUUCGAAAGAAGCAAAUACGCUAGUGUUUUACUGGUUGACAUACAAAAUAUCAUUGAGUCAAAAACAAAGAACGCUAGAGAUGGAAACAUAAAAAGAUUUAAAGAUGGCUUCAAGGAACACCAAGCUGAUAAACAAGAAAUUUCCUGUUUACUGAUAGUGACAAUACCUGUGUCCUAUCGAAGCCUCUUGUAGACAUGUUCGCUGAACAGGUCGGCUAUAGCCUAAAAGUCUGCAGCAAUUUGAAGACUAUAACAUGAAUCUUACAUCAAACGCUUAAGGUGGUGAGAGUGCCACUGAUCUUUGGAGAAAACACGCACGUAGAUAUUCAGACAAACUAAAUAGCAUCGUAUAUGUGGACAGAAACACUGACUGUGACAUCAAGUAUUUGAAGCACAAUGAUUAUAUUGUCUUUAAUACAAAAUCUGCAAAACGAAAGAUUGUAUUUUUCGAAAGAAAAAAUGAAACCAUUUUAACAUUCGUUCAAAACUCAACGAAAACUGAGGAAAGAUGUUCAAAAGUAUUUCUGACUUUACUCGUUAUCUCAAGGCUAGUAAGCAAACUCAAGAAGGUAAACUGUGAUACGGAACGAUUGGUAAAAUGAUAGAAGCUAUGUUCUUCCGGCGAGGCUACAACCUGUGGGUCAGGUUAAUAAUGAGCCAUAAGCCACAGAAUGAGAUAGCCAUUGAUCCACGUUCCUGGACAACUUAGAUUGUAGAAUGUGGAAAAGAUCUUGUAAUAGCGGUUGAAGAAUGGAAAGCAGAAAAUACUUCUUAUUCAGUUUAUGAGACGAUUAUGAUGAAUAAGGCAGUCCCAAGUGGUGUUGCUAUAGUAACUGUGCCUACAAAUUUGAUACUUUGUUUGUUCAUUAGUUACGUUAUAGAAUUUAUUUCAUAAGAUGUCCUCCCAUUCUUUACUUUGCAAUUAGUGAUUUGUCAACUUUCUUUACAUUGAACAUAUUCUUUUAUUGAUGAAAAUAGCAAGAUUCUCUUUACAUACAGCACUGCUGGUGGAACUUGUUAAAUUAAGCUUUAUUGAAGAACCGAAACUGGAUUCCUUUAAUACCCGUAACUGUAAUCCAAUACAUAGUUUACAUAGUUCAUGAAAAUAAUACACCUAAUUUCUUUUUAACAUGCUUACUUUAACACAAAACCAGUGAAAACUCUUUUGUUCAUAAUGUACGUGCAGGUGAAAGGUUAAAUUUGCGGAGACAAAACUAGUAUGUUGUAAGAUACAAGUAUUCUGCAUUUACAUGUGAAUAAAUAAGCACACAAAACAUUAUGUUAUUGGUAUGAAUAUAUUUACAUAUAGGUAUCUUACGGUGUUAGGGCGUAAAUACUUUGGAACGUUAAGUACAUUUUCGUGAGCAGUAUAAUUCUCUUUUCAACUCUAUUAUUUCAAACUGAACUGAUAUGAAGAUUAAAUGUAUUAGUUUUUGAUCCAGUUUUUACAGCGGUAAAUAUGUCCUUUUAAUAGAAAAUAAAAGCACGAAAUGUUAUCAAAAUACACGUGUCUAUUUUUAACUUUAAAAUUUGUGACUUCUUGUGAUAUCGUAAAGAAAAAGGAGUUAAUCUCAGAGUAGAUAAUAUUGAUAUUAAACUGUCAUCCUGAAUAUGUAAGCUUGUACAUAUUUCAUAAUAUAGUACCUUUGGAGACAUAUGCCACUUUUUGUAAUGCCAGAAUCUAGUAAUGUUAAAAUAUUAGUAAAUUACUGGUAAAUGAGAAAUGGUUUGAAUAGUUGGCAUGCAAAAUGAAAUAACAUGUCUGCCUUAGUAAGGUUUUCAAUUUCAUGUUUUCCCUCAGGUAUGAAAAAAACCUGUCUUUCACAGGCAGACAUGUAAGAUCCUUAUAAUGAUAUGUCCAUUUGUGUAUAUUUACGUUAAGGUAUCCGAUCCACAAAUACGCAACUUCUAUAUAAAUAAAUAUCAAAUAUUGAUGAUUGGCAAGCUGAUACAAAUUAGAUAUCAUGUCUACCUAAAAAGAAAAUAUAAAUUACAUGACCGUGGUAAAAAUAUCUAUAGAAUUUUUAUUAUUUUGCCUUAUAUUUUUCAAUGAUGCUUCAACAGAAAUCCAGCUAUUACUGUGUAUGAUUUAUCAUUUCGAAGUCAAAAAACAUGACUGUUAUGAAUUGUGAUCAUCCUUUUUACUAAUUUUUGUUCAGCAGACACAACUCGUUCAAAUGAUACCAACCGUGGGGUCAACAGGUAUCGAAAUGUAAUAUACUUGUUGAUCAAAUACAUUAAUAGUUUACAAUUUAAAGGCCGGGUGACUAGGUGCCCUCUAAUUCAUUACAUUUGUAUAUAAAUGUUUGUUAUUAUAAUAUACGCAAACAUAAGUCACUAUAUCAAAAGAUUAGAUCUAUCUUGUUUUUAAAGUCAGUGACAACGUAUUACACAAAUUUUACCACCGCUAUAGAGGCUGAAAUUAAGAAAUGUUAGUAGGCGUGUGUUUGUCAGUUUAUGUUAUAUUUUAAGGUUCUGUUAUAGAGAUAAAUUGAAAGGUUCUGAUUGCCAUGUACUAUAGCUUCAACUUUUAAAUUAAUGUAGACCUUUGUCUACGGUUCUUUAUAAAAUUAAAAUCUUCAGGCAAGGACAACGUUAGUCAACCCCAAAUUGGUAUCUAUUUUCAUUUUUAUGUGCAUGAAUACAUUUAUUUGACAAUACCGUAUUAAAUAAUAUACAUUUUCGACUUGUUCCGCUUUUCACUUUGAUAUUGAAACUUCAUUCAAGUAUAUCGUUUGGUUGGAGUUACUGUUAAAAAGGCAUAUUAAAGAAAAGUAACAAUCUGCAUGUUAUAUUGGUUGUCUGCUUCUUAUUGACUGUCACGGUUAUGUGACACGCAUUGAGAGAAUGUGUAGGCUAAAGGUCACUAAUACAAAUCCUUCUUUGUUCCAUAUAAAUACGACAAUUUUAGGGAUUAUUUGCGUAUCCUUAUAGAAUAUCACUUUUUCCUACAUCUGUGUUUCAUGACUGUCAUUUUAGUAUAAAAAGAACUUGCCCAAAAGUAUGCUUUGAUCCUUGCCAUCGUGAUAGUGUAAGACUUCCUUGCUUAAUAUUGAUUAUCUGAUAUCUAUAGUUUAAAAUGUACGAUAUUUGAUCAGUUAUAUGACGUAAAUUAUUCGUAGAUUUAGGUAAACAAAUAACAAAUGGAUUACCACAGUUAAGACACUUGUACGAGUGGAAUUAACAAAAAAAAUAAUCUGUGGCAUAUGCUUCAGAGAAAUGGUCCUUAAGACGUUUCACGAGCUACUGAAAGGCGAGAGAGGAUAUGCCUUGUAUUUAGCAGAUAUUUCACAGAUGUCUAUUCGCGAAGCAACGAAAACGUUAGUUGAAACCGUGAAUGAAAUUUUAAAUGAAUUUGAGGAUAAAACGGAUUACAUAGUUUCAAAGUUCGUCAUUGGCAAAACAUAUGCACCGCAAGUGCAAGAGGAAAAUGAAACAUAUCAGGAUUCCAAUGUAAGCACUUGGAAUGACGAAGGUGUGAUAUCAAGAUGGAAUACAAAGUAUAAAAAUGCGGGGUUCAACGGAAUGCUUGUACUAUGUGGGAUCACAUGUCAAACAGUCAAAGAAAUGAUUAGAUAUGAGGCUUCCAAUGAUUCUGAUUCGGAAAUUGUGAGCGAUAGCGAUAGCGAUGACGAUGACGACUGCGAGUUAUCAAACCAACAGGAUUAUACCCUAGCUCUAGAACAGCGACUAAUUCAUCAUUUUGCAUACGUCAAACACGACCACAGAUUGGGAAACGAGACAUUAUGUACAGGAAGACGUGGCCCACGAGAUGCGGCCGGCGUCGUUUACCUUGUGUAUAAAUUUUAACAAGCGGAAGAGUAAUCGAAAUUGGCAAAUCGAUAUUGCCUAACCUGCAAAAUACUACACAAAGCUAAUUUUAUUGUUCUCUUAUCAACUAUCUUAAUUAAUACACUCAUGUAAUGUCAGGAUUUGAAAGCAACGAUGUGCACGAAUCAACAGGCCGAUAUGUUUGCUAUGGGGGCGUGGGCAGUGUUGCAUUUUCCAUUACUGCUCAUGAACAGACUCAAUCAAACCGAGUCUGCAAUUUUUACUGUUUGCCUUGUUCUCGGUGCUUCCGAGGGAUCUACUUUCUAGAUUUUAUUUAUAUUUAUUUACAUUAAUUUGAAAGCAAACAGACAAAACUUAAACUUAUCAUAUGGGCAAUUUACACAAUUGUCUAAAUAUAAACAGUUAUUUGUUGACAAUUUUAAGGAGUUCACUGAAGAGUAUUUUGUUACUUUAUUCAUGUAAGCAUGGAUAUAUUCUACAUUGUUAAAAUGACAAAAUUUAGUUUGAUUAAACUAAAAAGGCAUGUCCUAUUGUCAUGUUUACUGCAAUACCACUUACAGUGUCGGAGAGAAUGUUCAUGCAAUUCUACAUCUAAAUAUGAUGCUGUGAUUGUAUUCAAGACAAAUCAAAAUAUACUUUCUUCAUUUAAUUCUUUCCAUUGUAUUAUUUUAUAUAUAUCAAUUUGCUGUGAAUGAAUUAAGACCAGUCAAAAUGUA